rnacentral:rRNA from 1 species
GAGCCAGACAAUAACACACAAUCAUACACCAAUAGGAUAAACAAAACAUUUGACUAACUUAGUAGAUGAGAUCGAACAGUAAAUACAACCAGUACCGCAAGGGGAAAUAAAUAAGCAAUGAACAGCAAAGAUUAACCCUUGUACCUUUCGCAUCAUGGUCUAGCAAGAAAUUAAAGACAAGAAGAAUCAUAGCCUCCACCCCGAAAUCAGUGAGCUACUUUCAAGCAGCCAAAUGGGCACACCCUUCUCUGUA